rnacentral:misc_RNA from 1 species
GGAUGAAGAACGUAGCGAAAUGCGAUAAGUAAUGUGAAUUGCAGAAUCCAGUGAAUCAUCGAAUCUUUGAACGCACAUUGCGCCCGCCAGCAUUCUGGCGGGCAUGCCUGUUCGAGCGUCAUUUCAACCCUCGACCUCCCCUUGGGGAGGUCGGCGUUGGGGACCGGCAGCACACCGCCGGCCCUGAAAUGGAGUGGCGGCCCGUCUGCGGCGACCUCUGCGUAGUAAUACAGCUCGCACCGGAACCCCGACGCGGCCACGCCGUAAAACACCCAACUUCUGAACGUUGACCUCGAAUCAGGUAGGACUACCCGCUGAACUUAAGCAUAUCAAUAAGCGGAGGA